rnacentral:rRNA from 1 species
GUGGGGAAUAUUGGACAAUGGGGGGAACCCUGAUCCAGCCAUGCCGCGUGUGAAGAAGGCCUUUUGGUUGUAAAGCACUUUAAGCGAGGAGGAGGCUACCGAGAUUAAUACUCUUGGAUAGUGGACGUUACUCGCAGAAUAAGCACCGGCUAACUCUGUGCCAGCAGCCGCGGUAAUACAGAGGGUGCAAGCGUUAAUCGGAUUUACUGGGCGUAAAGCGCGCGUAGGUGGCCAAUUAAGUCAAAUGUGAAAUCCCCGAGCUUAACUUGGGAAUUGCAUUCGAUACUGGUUGGCUAGAGUAUGGGAGAGGAUGGUAGAAUUCCAGGUGUAGCGGUGAAAUGCGUAGAGAUCUGGAGGAAUACCGAUGGCGAAGGCAGCCAUCUGGCCUAAUACUGACACUGAGGUGCGAAAGCAUGGGGAGCAAACAGGAUUAGAUACCCGGGUAGUCC